AUACGGAGGAUCCAAGCGUUAUCCGGAUUUAUUGGGUUUAAAGGGUGCGCAGGCGGCCUUAUAAGUCAGUGGUGAAAUCUCCCGGCUCAACCGGGAAACUGCCAUUGAUACUGUAAGGCUAGAAUACAGACGAGGUAGGCGGAAUGUAGCAUGUAGCGGUGAAAUGCUUAGAUAUGCUACAGAACACCGAUCGCGAAGGCAGCUUACCAGACUGUAAUUGACGCUAAGGCACGAAAGCGUGGGGAGCGAACAGGAUUAGAUACCCCUGUAGUCC
rnacentral:rRNA from 1 species